CUUUAUGAGAAGCUAAGAAGAGAAAAAAAUUAUUUGCGGGAAAGUAUUUGUGAAGACAAUGAUGAAAAUGUUGUUAAUGAAGGGGAACAAAGAGACCAAUAAUGGGAUUCUGAGCAGAUUGAAAUCAUCUUAUAGUCGGACAUAUAGCUUGAAAUUUCUAUGAGCAAUUCGACCAAGGAACAUGUGAGUUUUAACAAUUUUAGUUUCUUUACUUUAGCUUUUCCUUAAAACUUAUGAAAUUCUUAACCAUCUUCAAUGUACUUAUCUGGUUUGCAUGGGACUUACUGUGAAAUUACUUUGUUUAUUGAAGAGGGUUGGGUAUUUUUAAUUAAAAAUCAGAAUUAUGUUGAAACCUCCAAUCUUUCUGUCUCUCCAUGUGCCGAAUGGAGCUGCACAUGAGGGAAAGGAUGCUAGCUUGAUAUACAUUGCUGGCAUUUCCUAAUGAUUUUGUGUCUUUGCAUUUGUUAAACCUCAGGAAGCCAAUUCCCUCAGGUUGAGCAGCCACCAGAUAACUCUCUUGCUUUUAUCAAUUUGGGCACAAUCCCUCUCUCCUGGGAACAUGCCCGAAAACUAUGAAGCAAUUGCUCAUACGCAUAGCCUCGUAUCACUUUUCUCUCGGGCCAAGGUAAUUUCUAGAACAAUGUUACUUGAUUAGUCUUUUCUAUUAUAUAUGUUGGCGAUGCCUUUUCUAUGUUCUUUUCUUUUUAUGUUGCUUUCACUUAGUUGGAACUCCUUAUAUUUUGCAUGUUUGCAUUACGUCUUGUUACUGCUUAAUACGUCUAGAAAAUUAAUUUCUUUCAAGCAGGGAGCAUGAGGACGGCUAAUCAUCCCUUUUUCUUUUUUCUGAAGCCUCUUUUUAACUGGAACUGCAUUAAAAUGUUACAGGCAUUUUGUUCAUUUCAGUCUUUCUGAAAUAUUAAGCGCCUUCUUUUGUUUUUUGUUCUUUUUCUUCAGAAUGUCUUUUAUUCUGUAUCGUCUUAGUCACAUUUUUUUGGACUUGGGGACUAGUAAAGGAUUCUUCCAUAGACUUCCAGUCAUAUGUCAUUGCAAUAGAAUGAGAGAUGACAUUCUAUUUUCAUAGAUUAAAAGGGGGAAGUAAAAGAAGAAAAGAAAACCUUGUCAUUUUGUUUGAAUAUUCAAAAACAUUCUGAAGAGUUAAUGCCUUUUGAUAUGAUAUAGAUGGAAAAUGAUAACAUAACUUCUUUGAUUACCACAAAACCCGUCUUAGUUCCUUGCUCGUUUGAAGCUCAUGAUAACUUUUUUCUUUCCAGAAUUGCUUCUAACUGCUUUAUAAGCUUCACAGCUCGCCUACCACCUCAUAGGUCAUUGUGCUAUGUAGUUAAGAGGGUAUUGUCAUCAGGGGAAAACUCUGAUUCUAAAGUAUAUGGUAGAAAUAGAACCAUGUGACUAUAAUUUCAUUUUUCAGAGUUUAACUGCUAUUAUGAAUUCAUGGAUGACUCCAGAACUUAUGCCAAUUCUAUAAAGAGAUGCUGGGACAUUUUUUUUUUCCAUCGUAUCUAUUGCCUUGUUUUCCCUUUUUUCGUUCAUCUUUUUUUGCAGCAUUCCAGUGUCGAGGUUCUUGUUCAAAGUUUCCAGUUAGCAUUUUCCUUGCGGGACAUUUCUCUUACUGAGGGAGGUGAGCCCACAGUCUGUCCAAACUAAAUGCAUACUUUCUCUGCACGUGUUUCCAUUAAUGACAAUAUACCAUUAUUUGUUGUUUCCAUUUACUAAUAUUAAUUAGCUAGAGAAGAAAACAUGAGAAACCUUCGAACUAAAGAUAGAUGUAUAUAAAAGUAAGUAAAACAUUAGUUAUAGCCCGGAUGACAUGGUUACACCAGGGAAAGUUUGUUUCUAAAAUUUUUCAUAAUCUAGUUCUGAGAACUUUGAACUCAGUAUUAGCAUUUGAACAAAUUCUGCUGAUUCUUUUUCUAGUUGUAUAUCAAUCGGUUUAGGAUAUAUUUAGGCUGACCCCUUUCCCUAAUCUAUACUUUAUAACGGAGGACAAUGAUUGCUCCGAUACUGAACAGCUGUAGGGCAAUGACUGCUGUUAUACCAAAUUGAUGUAGCAUAGAAAUUGAGGUUAAGCAUGCUCACAGUAUUUCUUUUAUCAAUAUGCCAAACUCUCCCUAACCUUUAAGAAGGCCUCUAUUAACAUAACCAACAACAAAACAAUAAUAACAAUAAUUUUUGGUAAUAUUAUUAGGUUGUAAUCAUAAUGAUUACUAUUAUUAAUAGCCAAAGCAUUAUACAUAUAGCCGAGACUCCAAUUCUAGGAAUAAAAAUAUAUUUAAUUUCUAGGAAUAAAAAAAAAUAUUUAAUUCCACCUAUGUGCAAAAUAAUUACUAUUUCUUCUUGUGCCCAUUGCCAUAUUGAAUUCAAGAAAUUUUGAACAAGCUUGACUUUGCAUGAUUGGGAUGUCAGAUAAAGCAACUUUCCCUCUUUCAUUUCAGGGCCAUUGCCACCAUCGCGUCGCAGGUCCCUCUUUACCCUGGCAACAUCAAUGAUUCUCUUUCUAUCAAAAGCAUACAAUAUUCUUUCUCUUGUUCAUAGAGCCAAGGCAUUGCUUAUGGAUAAAACGGUAUGUGGUAUUUUGUAAAUAAAGCUUAUAGUUUAUUCACAUAGGUUGUCUUGUAUGUGAUUUUCUGAGGUUCCAUAAGAUCUAAAUUCUCUUUAGGAACCAUUUUCGUGCAUAUGCUUGUGAUUUAUUGCUUAAAUUAAUUGAUUCCAAGCACUUCGAAGACACAAAGAAAGUGAGCCAGUACUUAUGGUUUCUUUUUAUGUGAGAUUUCCGUAAUUGAACAUCUUUCUAGCUCAGGAAAUAGAUUUGAAACCAUUAUAUUCUUAUUCAGGUUGAUCUGUUCCUACAUUUGGUUGAAGAUCGCAAGUUGCAGGCUGUUAAGACUGGAUCUGACCAUCCCACAAUUGCUUAUGGAUCUAAAGAAUAUGAUAAUUUGGCCUUAAAAUCUCUAUCAGAAAUAGCGAUCACUGAUGAGCAAACAAGGGAAUUCUUUGCUUCUCAAAUUUUGAAGAGCUUGGACAAAUUGUCAGAUGUAAGCUUUUAUACCAAUUGAUUUAAGCGACUUCGACUGCCUUUUGAUAAUAAAAGAAAACAUAAGUCAUUUGUACUAUUAUAUCGAUAAUGAAUAGGGAGCUAUUAUGCAGUCUGAACUGUCUACUAUAAGGGAGCAGCUGGUCAGUGAAUUCUUACCUGAUGAUGUGUGUCCACUGGGAGCCCAGUUGUUCAUGGAUGCUCUGCAAAAGUUAUAUCAGGUUGAUUUGAGCAAUAGUGAAGCUAUUAAGGAGAAUUCUCUUCAUUCAUUUUUUCUUUUUUUCCGCUUUUCUUUGUUGGUAGGGAAGAUC
rnacentral:lncRNA from 1 species